rnacentral:tRNA from 1 species
GCUCCUGGACCCAGCUGGUGACGGGGCUCGACUGUCGAUCGAGUUGUGGCGAGUUCGAUCCUCGUCAGGAGCGCCA